AAUCAACGCUGGCGGCGUGCCUAACACAUGCAAGUCGAACGCGAAAGGGGAGCAAUCCCUGAGUAGAGUGGCAAACGGGUGAGUAACGCGUGGGUGACCUGCCCUCGAGUGGGGGAUAACGUCCCGAAAGGGGCGCUAAUACCGCAUAACAUUCUGGGUUUGAACAUCGAGCAAUCAAAGCUGGGGAUCGCAAGACCUGGCGCUUGAGGAGGGGCCCGCGUCCGAUUAGCUAGUUGGUGGGGUAAAGGCCUACCAAGGCGACGAUCGGUAUCCGGCCUGAGAGGGCGGACGGACACACUGGGACUGAGACACGGCCCAGACUCCUACGGGAGGCAGCAGUGGGGAAUUGUUCGCAAUGGGCGAAAGCCUGACGACGCAACGCCGCGUGGAGGAUGAAGGUCUUCGGAUUGUAAACUCCUGUUGCCAGGGACGAAUAACUCGCGAUCUAACACGUCGUGGGAUUGACGGUACCUGGUGAGGAAGCCCCGGCUAACUCUGUGCCAGCCGCCGCAGUAACAC
rnacentral:rRNA from 1 species